rnacentral:rRNA from 1 species
GCUUCUGAAGAAUCAUUUGAGAUACUUAGUGGCGGACGGGUGAGUAACGCGUGGGUAACCUGCCUCACACAGGGGGAUAACAGUUGGAAACGACUGUUAAUACCGCAUAAGCGCACAGUACCGCAUGGUACAGUGUGAAAAACUCCGGUGGUGUGAGAUGGACCCGCGUCUGAUUAGCUAGUUGGCGAGGUAACGGCCCACCAAGGCGACGAUCAGUAGCCGGCCUGAGAGGGUGAACGGCCACAUUGGGACUGAGACACGGCCCAAACUCCUACGGGAGGCAGCAGUGGGGAAUAUUGCACAAUGGGGGAAACCCUGAUGCAGCGACGCCGCGUGAGUGAUGAAGUAUUUCGGUAUGUAAAACUCUAUCAGCAGGGAAGAUAAUGACGGUACCUGACUAAGAAGCACCGGCUAAAUACGUGCCAGCAGCCGCGGUAAUACGUAUGGUGCAAGCGUUAUCCGGAUUUACUGGGUGUAAAGGGUGCGUAGGUGGCAUGGCAAGUCAGAUGUGAAAGGCGGGGGCUCAACCCCUGAACUGCAUUUGAAACUGUCAAGCUAGAGUACAGGAGAGGAAAGCGGAAUUCCUAGUGUAGCGGUGAAAUGCGUAGAUAUUAGGAGGAACACCAGUGGCGAAGGCGGCUUUCUGGACUGACACUGACACUGAGGCACGA